AGUCCAACAUCCAUCUGAGAGAGCUGGACCUGAGUGCCAACGCUCUGAAGGAUUCAGAUGAGAAGCUGCUGAGAGAUCUUCUGGAGAGUCCAGACUGCAGACUGGAGACCCUCAGGAUCAGAUGGGGUGAGCCGAUCAGAGCCACGAUCCAGAAGACCUGUGACAGGAAGUGAAGACACACAGAAAGGUGAGAGGUCGUGCCAAGUGAAGUUUAUUUAUUGAGGUUUCACCAUGGAAUAAAUGUAGUUAUAGCUCAGGGAUUCCAGACAAACCCAUGAACCCUAAAACGUGUAAUUAAAAUGUGUGUUUUAUAUUACAUACAUAAUACAUUAUAUUACAUGCAGAGCCUUUCUGUUCAAUUAAAACCCAAGGAAAUAAACAUUUUCAAGGUUAGGUGUUUACAAAUGCAGAAAAAGCUUAAUAUUUAAAAGAAAAGGUUUA